rnacentral:rRNA from 1 species
AGUGAACGCUGGCGGUAGGCCAAACACAUGCAAGUCGAACGGCAGCACAGGAGAGCUUGCUCUCUGGGUGGCGAGUGGCGGACGGGUGAGGAAUACAUCGGAAUCUACCUUUUCGUGGGGGAUAACGUAGGGAAACUUACGCUAAUACCGCAUACGACCUACGGGUGAAAGUGGGGGACCGCAAGGCCUCACGCGAUUAGAUGAGCCGAUGUCCGACUAGCUAGUUGGCGGGGGAAUGGCCCACCAAGGCGACGAUCGGUAGCUGGUCUGAGAGGAUGAUCAGCCACGCUGGAACUGAGACACGGUCCAGACUCCUACGGGAGGCAGCAGUGGGGAAUAUUGGACAAUGGGCGCAAGCCUGAUCCAGCCAUACCGCGUGGGUGAAGAAGGCCUUCGGGUUGUAAAGCCCUUUUGUUGGGAAAGAAAUCCUGUCGAUUAAUACUCGGUGGGGAUGACGGUACCCAAAGAAUAAGCACCGGCUAACUUCGUGCCAGCCGCCGCGGUAACAC